UACGUAGGGAGCAAGCGUUGUCCGGAAUCAUUGGGCGUAAAGAGCGCGUAGGUGGCUUUAUAAGUCCGUUGUGAAAGUCAAAGGCUCAACCUUUGAAAGCCGAUGGAUACUGUGAAGCUAGAGUACGGAAGAGGCGAGUGGAAUUCCUGGUGUAGCGGUGGAAUGCGCAGAUAUCAGGAGGAACACCAAUAGCGAAGGCAGCUCGCUGGGACGUAACUGACGCUGAGACGCGAAAGCGUGGGGAGCAAACAGG
rnacentral:rRNA from 1 species